rnacentral:rRNA from 1 species
GGGUAGCUAUGUAUGGACGGGAUAAGUGCUGAAAGCAUCUAAGCAUGAGCCCCCCUCAAGAUGAGAUUUCCCAACUUCGGUUAUCAGAUCCCUCGAAGAUGACGAGGUUAAUAGGUUCGAGGUGGAAGCGUGGUGACACGUGGAGCUGACGAAUACUAAUCGAUCGAAGACUUAAUCAA